UAAUAAAGUGUUUUAUGGCACUUUUUAAAAAAUCCAUAUCCACCUUGUGUGCAAUGUUAAGAUCUCAUCAGUCAAGUAAUAUUUUCUGAUGGGAUUUUUUAUACAUCAACUCAUUCUUGAACUAAUUUGUCUGAAAAAUAUUAUGAAUACUUAAUUCAAAAUA
rnacentral:misc_RNA from 1 species